rnacentral:rRNA from 1 species
CCUACGGGGGGCUGCAGUGGGGAAUAUUGGACAAUGGGGGCAACCCUGAUCCAGCCAUGCCGCGUGUGUGAAGAAGGCCCUCGGGUUGUAAAGCACUUUCAGUGAGGAAGAACGCCUGGUGGUUAAUACCCAUCAGGAAAGACAUCACUCACAGAAGAAGCACCGGCUAACUCCGUGCCAGCAGCCGCGGUAAUACGGAGGGUGCGAGCGUUAAUCGGAAUUACUGGGCGUAAAGCGCGCGUAGGUGGCUUGAUAAGCCGGUUGUGAAAGCCCCGGGCUCAACCUGGGAACGGCAUCCGGAACUGUCAAGCUAGAGUGCAGGAGAGGAAGGUAGAAUUCUCGGUGUAGCGGUGAAAUGCGUAGAGAUCGGGAGGAAUACCAGUGGCGAAGGCGGCCUUCUGGACUGACACUGACACUGAGGUGCGAAAGCGUGGGUAGCAAACAGGAUUAGAUACCCUAGUAGUC